ACGGAAGGCUCAAAAUGGGCCCGUCUAGUAGCAAUAUUAGAAUGAGAACUUGGCUAUAUCGGCGAAACCUAAAUUAUUAAACAUGGCAACGCCGAGGAAAGGCCCCACUUAGCGGGGAAUCCGUAGAGACUAUACGCCGAGCCCCAUUAGAUGAGAAAUCUAUCUAACGGGGAUGACAUAGUCCGACACUCACCGAAAGAUGAGG
rnacentral:ncRNA from 1 species